rnacentral:rRNA from 1 species
AUACGGAGGGUCCAAGCGUUAUCCGGAUUCAUUGGGUUUAAAGGGUUCGUAGGCGGAUAAAUAAGUCAGUGGUGAAAUCCCGAAGCUCAACUUCGGAACUGCCAUUGAAACUGUUUAUCUUGAAUUUAGUUGAAGUGGGCGGAAUAUGACAUGUAGCGGUGAAAUGCAUAGAUAUGUCAUGGAACACCAAUAGUGAAGACAGCUCACUAAGCUAAUAUUGACGCUGAUGAACGAAAGCAUGGGUAGCGAACAGGAUUAGAAACCCUGGUAGUCC